UGGGGGAUAUUGCACAAUGGGCGAAAGCCUGAUGCAGCGACGCCGCGUGGGGGAUGAAGGCUUUCGGGUUGUAAACCUCUUUCGCUAUCGAACAAGGCCCGCUUAGGGUGGGUUGAGGGUAGGUGGAGAAGAAGCGCCGGCUAACUACGUGCCAGCAGCCGCGGUAAUACGUAGGGCGCGAGCGUUGUCCGGAAUUAUUGGGCGUAAAGGGCUUGUAGGCGGCUUGUUGCGCCUGCUGUGAAAGCGUGGGGCUUAACUUCGCGCGUGCAGUGGGUACGGGCAGGCUUGAGUGUGGUAGGGGUGACUGGAAUUCCAGGUGUAGCGGUGGAAUGCGCAGAUAUCUGGAGGAGCACCGAUGGCGAAGGCAGGUCACUGGGCCAUUACUGACGCUGAGGAGCGAAAGCAUGGGUAGCGAACAGG
rnacentral:rRNA from 1 species